GGUUUCUUGAAUUAUAUUUAAGAAAUCUAACCUGCCCACUGAAAAGUUUUUGAAGGGCCGCAGUAUUUUGACUGUGCAAAGGUAGCAUAAUCAUUAGUCUUUUAAUUGGAGGCUGGUAUGAAUGGUUGGAUGAGGUGAAUUCUGUUUUAUAUUAAUUUUAAUUGAAUUUAGAUUUUAAGUAAAAAUACUUAAAUUUAAUUAAGGGACGAGAAGACCCUAUAGAGUUUAAUAAACUUAAUAAUUAAUUAAGUUAUUUAAGAAUUUUUAAUUGUUAUGAAAUUUAUUUGGUUGGGGUGAUUGAGAGAUAAAUUAAACUCUUUUUUAGAUUUAAUAAUAUAAUUAAUUAUAUGAUCCAUUAUUAAUGAUUAAAAGAUUAAAUUACCUUAGGGAUAACAGCAUAAUAUUUUUUAAGAGUUCAUAUCGAAAAAAAAGAUUGUGACCUCGAUGUUGGAUUAAGAUUAGUUUUGGGUGCAGAUGUUUUAGAAACUGGGUCUGUUCGACCUUUAAAAUCUUACA
rnacentral:rRNA from 1 species